rnacentral:lncRNA from 1 species
GGAGCCAAGGUAUUCUCCAAGAUAGACCUUCGCUCGGGCUACCAUCAAAUCAAGAUCCGUGCCAGUGAUAUUCCAAAGACGACCUUCUCCACCAGAUAUGGGCUUUAUGAGUUUUUGGUGAUGUCUUUUGGGCUGACCAAUGCCCCGGCUUAUUUUAUGUACCUAAUGAACUCAGUAUUCAUGCCGGAGUUGGACAAGUUCGUGGUCGUUUUCAUUGAUGAUAUUCUGGUCUAUUCCAAGAAUGAAGCCGAGCACACUAAACAUUUGCAUACUGUACUUCAGAGGCUGCGUGAUCAUCAGUUGUAUGCCAAGUUGUCUAAAUGCGAAUUCUGGUUGAAGGAGAUUAAAUUCUUGGGUCACACAAUUUCUCAGGAGGGGAUAUCAGUUGACCCUGAAAAGGUACAAGAGGUGAUGAAUUGGAAACCCCCGACUACAGUGAGGCAAAUUCGGAGUUUUCUGGGAUUGGCACGGUAUUAUCGACGAUUUAUUCCAGACUUCUCCAGAAUUGCCAAGCCAAUGACUGAGUUAUUGAAGAAGGGAGCCAAAUAUGAUUGGAGCCAGAAGUGCGAAGAUGCCUUUCAUACUUUGAGGCAACAUUUGACAAUAGCCCCAGUGCUGGCUCAACCUGAUAACACCAAGCCUUUUGAAGUUUAUUGUGAUGCUUCCGGGACUGGAUUGGGUUGUGUCUUGAUGCAAGAUAACAGAGUGAUUGCUUAUGCUUCCCGAGCACUCAGACCCCAUGAGCAGAAUUACCCUACACAUGAUCUGGAGUUGGCAGCUGUGGUUCACGCUCUUAAGAUUUGGAGACACUAUUUGAUGGGAGCUCACUGUAACAUCUACACUGAUCACAAGAGUCUCAAAUACAUCUUUACUCAAGCAGAUCUGAACAUGAGGCAGAGGAGAUGGUUAGAACUAAUCAAGGAUUACGAAUUGGAGGUGCAUUACCAUCCAGGCAAGGCCAAUGUUGUGGCAGAUGCCUUGAGCAGAAAGGCCUAGUGUAACUGUAUGAGCAUGGAUGCAAGAGUUACCACCCUGUGUGAUGAGUUGUGUAAGCUGAACCUGGAGGUUGUUCCUUCCGGCGAAUUAAGUUAUAUCUCGGUGGAGCCCACAUUGCAAGAGCAAAUAGUCCAAGCACAGAUUGGGGAUAAAGGUGUUCAGGUUAUCAAAGAUAUGCUCAAGCGGAAGACAGAAAAGUACAAGUGCUUCUGUCAGGACCAUAAGGGGAUUUUAUGGUUUGGAGAUCGAUUGGUUGUUCCCAAGGACCCUGAGCUCAGAAAGAAGAUAUUGGAUGAAGCUGACCUUUCCAAAUUCUCCAUGCACCCGGGUAGCAACAAGAUGUACCAUGAUCUCAGAUCUUUGUACUUGUAAGGAAAAUGGACCCCGGGCCAUUUGGCUAAUUGAGUUUUGGUGUUUGAUGAUUAACACAACCUGUGGACUAAUAUGUUUGCUAGUGUUUAUGAUUAUAGUUCACAGGAUGCAAAGAGAAUUGGACCAAGGCAAUGAGGAUGCAACACCUCAAAAGAAGACAUAAAAAGAUACAUAGGAGUCCAAUACUCAAGAACAAAGAAGCCCGAAGAAAUCAACGAAGAAAUCCAAGAUGAGGGCUGUCAGCCAGCGCCUGGUGGCGCACCGGACAUUGGUGUCCGGUGUGCACCGGACUGUCCGGUGUGGCACCGGACAGUCUGCGCAGAGAGGCCACAGACAGGCGCUCUCUGGCUGUAGCACCGGACUGUCCGGUGUGCCACGGGCAGACGGCAACGGUCGGAUCCAACGGUCGACUGCUACAGGCGCCAACGGUCGGCUGACGUGGCGUGCACCGGACAUUGCACAGUAGAUGUCCGGUGGUGCACCGGACUGUCCGGUGCACCCAACGACAGAAAGCUGCUGCUUUCUGUCCAACGGCUAGUUUGGGGUGUGGAGGCUAUAAAUAUCACCCCAACCGGCCAUUCUCAAGUGUGGGAGCCCAAGCAACAUACCAAGACACAUAGUGCAUAUUUCCAAGAGCUCAAACACCCAAGUGCUUAAUAGAAUCACUCAGUGAUUAGCGUAGGUGCUUUGCGAAGUGCUUAGGUUAGUUAGACCGCUUUAGCGCUUGCUCUAGGUGAACUCUAGUUAGUUGAGUGAGUUUAGAUAAACCUCACAACCCCUCGGCUCUUGCGUGAGUCGUUGUAAUUGUACCGAGUGGGGCGAGAGUCUUGCGAGACCAUGACAACCGCGUUUGUGUCAUGGCCGCCACCGUGUACCGGAGGGAACGAGGCCCGCGGCGUUUCGGCCGGAAGCUCGAUAGUGGAGACGGUGGGGAGCGUCCGAGAGGAGCCGGAAGCGGAGCACCACUUGCGCGUGGAGAAGGCCCGCAGCUCUCUACGGAGUUACUCGACCGUGGUGCUUGGCCCUCGCGUGGGCUUCCCUUUGCGUCGGGGCACCAACGAGGAUUAGUCGAGACCUUGCGUGGUUCCGGAUACCUCGGUAAAAAUACCGGCGUCAUCCACGAGAGUUUGCUUCUCUACUUAGCUCUUUACAUUCCGCAUUUAUAUUAAGCAUUUAAGUUUCAAUCUUGUAGUCAUACUUAUUUAGUGUAGAUUGAAACUUAGCCUUUGCGGUAGAGAUAGCAACACUUAGACAAAACCUAGUUUGCACAUUCUAGUUUUGAUUAUUGGCAUAGGUUUUGCUCUAGGAAUUUAAUUGUGGCCUAGUUUAGUAAAAGUUUUAGAAGUCCUAAUUCACCCCCCUCUUAGGCGUCACCCGUUUCCUACAAGUGGUAUCAAAGCCCAGUUUGGCUCAUUUGAAACGCUUUAGCUUCACCGCUAAAAGGAGCCGACGCUUUUUAGAGGAAGGGAUGGAUACCCAUAGGCCACCACACUUCGACGACACUAACUUCCCAUAUUAUAGUGCUAGAAUGGCUUGUUACCUAGAGGCCGUUGAUCUAGGUGUUUGGAGAGUCACUCGUGACGGGAUGAAACCUCUCAAGAAUCCCGAGAAACCCACCACGAGUGAGGAAAAAGAAAUUCAUUUAAAUGUUAGAGCCAAAAAUUGCUUGUAUGAAUCUCUUAGCAUGGAUAUUUUUAAUCAAGUAUUUACCUUGAGAACUGCUAAUGAGAUUUGGCUAAAAUUACAUGAGCUCCAUGAUGGCACAUCCAAUGUCCGUGAGCAAAAACAUUGCCUAGUCUUGAAUGAGUAUAAUUCUUUUGCUAUGAAAGAUGAUGAGCUUGUUAGAGACAUGUAUUCUCGUUUGAAUCUAAUUAUCAAUGAGCUCAAUUCUAUUGGCAUUAAUAAGCUAGGUGAUGCGGACAUUGUGAGGAAGAUUAUCUCCCUGCUACCACAACAAAGAUAUGGGAGCAUCAUCACCAUCCUUCACAACAUGGAGGAUUUGAGCAACAUGACCCCGACCAUUGUGAUUGGGAAAAUCGCGGCCUUUGAGAUGUCGCGAAAAAUGAGUCGGGGAGAGGAGCCAACUUCCUCAAGGCCAUAUGCUUUUGCAUGUGAUGAAAGGAAGGGCAAAAAGAAGGCUCCCACUCCAAGUUCCUCAAGUGAAGAAGAGGAAGAAGAAGAAAGUGAUGAUGAUGAAGAUAAUCAACCAUGCACAUCAUCCUCCGAGGACGAAGAAACAAUCUGACGCGUCGGAAAGGUAAUGAGGAUGAUCCGCAAGAUUAAUCUAAUGGGUGUGCCCCUGCAGGUCGAGGAUCUUCUCUUUAACAUUGACAGGAAAAAGCAAAGGAAGAGAGGAUGCUUCGCAUGUGGGGAGAAGGGCCACUUCAGGGACAACUGUCCAAAUAUGGCCAACCCCAAAAAGGAGAGGAGCAAAGGCAAGGCGCUAACAAGUGUUAGAACUUGGGAUGAUUCUUCAAGUGAAGAUGAACCUCCAAGGACGCGCAGCCACCGGUCCUCGUCACGAUCAUCACGGUCAUCACACAAAUGCCUUAUGGCAAGAGGUAACAAAAGCAUUCCAUCCUCUAGUGAUGAAAGUAGUAGUGAUGAUGAAGGUGAGGGAAAGCCCUCUCUAGAUGAGCUUGUGGAAGCCGUAGAAUUUUUCCAGGAUGUUUGCACUAAGCAAAAAGCUCAACUUAAAACUUUGAAAAAUAAGUUGGUUAGCUCUCAAAAUGAUUACAAAGGUUUGCUAGAAAAAUUUGAAACUUUUGCAAACUUAAAUAGUGAGCUAUCAACUAAAAUUGAGCUAUUAGAAUCUAGUGCUCCAUCCACUGCUACCGAUGAUAGCCUUAUUAAAAAGAAUGAAAAACUUAAGGCUAAGUUAGCUAACUCCCAAGAAGCUAUUGAAAAUUUGCUAGAGAAAAUGGAAAUUCUUAGCAUACACAACAAUGAGCUAACUACUAAGCUAGAAAACAUUGGUAGCACCCCAGCAGCAUCUUUAGUUGAAAUACCUGAAAUAAUUAAGAAAGAUGCUUCUACUUCCUGCUUUGAUUUAAUUGAUGAUUCUAACCCCUGCAACCAAGUCGUUGUUGAGAAUAUUGUUGUAGAGACAUGUACGGAUGAGGUUGCAAAGGAAAAUGAACAAUUAAAGCAAGAGGUGGCUCGCCUUGGCAAGGCUUUGUAUUACAAGAAAGGCAAAGCCAAACAAAUCCAACCUCCACAGGAUAACACCACUGCAGGAGUGAACAAGCCUAUGGAGGGAGAAACUGUGAUUUGUAGGCUAUGCCACAAGGAAGGCCACAAGUCUUUCCAAUGCAAGGCGAUGACCGGGGAUAAACAAAGACAAAAGCUCAAGCAAAAGCCAUCAAGUAAAAUCUCAAACACCUACAUCAAAAAGGUGAACAAAAAGGAUGCUACACCAUAUUUGAUCAAGAAGAAAAAGAACGGAAAGGUGAUAGCAAUCAAGGCCAACAAGCAAGCCAACAAAGGAGAGGGGGCCAAACGCAUCUGGGUGCCAAAGGAGAUAAUUUCAACCAUGAAAAGCACCAAGAAGGUUUGGAUCCCGAAAGGGAAGUGAGUGGACCAAAGGUCCACGGGAAAUUUGGAGACUUGGCAAAAUUGGGAUGUAUAUCAUGGGAUACAUCAUAUUGGAUCAAGUUUAUUGCCAAGUGGGUUAGUGAAAAUUUCGGACCCAAAUUUCCCACCCAUGACUAAGGUAACUAGUUUUAUUGUAUUCUUCGUUUUUAGAUAUGCGUAUCUAUUUACCUUUUAUCUAGUUUACCUUUCUUGCCUAGUAUUGCAUUUGUUAUGUACUUUUGUUUAAAAUCAUGCAUACUAGGUAAAUCACAUGGUAGGAUUGCUUGCUUUCAAUUCAUAUACUUAAGCAAACCUACAUGGUUUAAAAUGUUUAUUUAAGCACGGCACAUAGCUUUUAUAUCACUCCAUAGUAAAUGAUGCAAUAAUUGAAAAUUUUGAUUUCUACAACUUGUAUCAUUUAACUUAUGUGUGCCAAUGUUAGGAUUGUAGAUAAUUUGCCCCUCUUGAUAUCAAAUCAAAGUGCAUGUCUCCUACAAGUAUUCAAAACUUGUAUGCACACCUUUAGGGGGAGAUUACUCUAUAAUCUAACACUUUGAGACUAACACCUUUUCAAGUCUAUUUUAUGUGAUAGUCUCAUUGUAAGAAAAAUGAAGUCCCCGGAGAAAGACAACAAUCUUCCACUGCAAAAUCUCCAAGAACUCUCAUGUCUCUCAAGCUCACCAUUGACUUUCAAUUGGUAUCUUUUGAGACUACUUUCAGUAUCAUUUAUAUGUCUUCUCCAAAAUUUGAUUAGACUAUAAUUCAUAUCAUAUGCUUCCAUGUUGCUAAAAAUGCAUAAGUGGUUAACUCAUAUCCUGUUACCUAUGCAUAAGGGAAGUUAGUCUUUUCAAAUCAUGUCUUGCACCUCUAAUUUUAACAUGCUUUUUCCUAAGUAGAGGAUCUCUGUCAGGGGGAGUAUUUCUUCAUCUCUAAAAAGGGGGAGAAACUUCUUUCUAAAGAUAACACUCAUUUAGGGGGAGUAAUCCUUUCAACUAAUAUCAUUCAUAUGGUUUAAUUUAAAUAUCCUUCUAGUGGUAUCAUUUGAUAGAUUUCUUGAUGAGGGCAAGCUCUUAUUUUCUUCCUACAUGCUUUUAAUGUCUUCCUUUUCGGUGGUUGAUGCCAAAGGGGGAGAAGUUUAGGGACCAAAGCAAUGGAAACUAUAUCAAACACCAAACACCACCAAUUUAAAAUUUUAUAUCUCCAAAUGGUUUUUCAAGUGGUUUUGGUUAUUUGGUCCAAAAAUAGGAAGUAAGUGAAUUAUGGAGUUAGGGGGAGGCUUAAGUCCAUAAUAUCACACUGUGGGGACAAUCAUGCAUCUUAGAGUAGAUUGCAUAUUUUAAUUCAAAUACUUGUAUUAUUUGCUUGCUUUGGUUGUGUUGUCAUCAAUCACCAAAAAGGGGGAGAUUGUAAGGAAAAUGGACCCCGGGCCAUUUGGCUAAUUGAGUUUUGGUGUUUGAUGAUUAACACAACCUGUGGACUAAUAUGUUUGCUAGUGUUUAUGAUUAUAGUUCACAGGAUGCAAAGAGAAUUGGACCAAGGCAAUGAGGAUGCAACACCUCAAAAGAAGACAUAAAAAGAUACAUAGGAGUCCAAUACUCAAGAACAAAGAAGCCCGAAGAAAUCAGCGAAGAAAUCCAAGAUGAGGGCUGUCAGCCAGCGCCUGGUGGCGCACCGGACAUUGGUGUCCGGUGUGCAUCGGACUGUCCGGUGUGGCACCAGACAGUCUGCGUAGAGAGGCCAUAGACAGGCGCUCUCUGGCUGUAGCACCGGACUGUCCGGUGUGCCCCGGGCAGACGGCAACGGUCGGAUCCAACGGUCGACUGCUAUAGGCGCCAACGGUCGGCUGACGUGGCGUGCACCGGACACUGCACAGUAGAUGUCCGGUGGUGCACCGGACUGUCCGGUGCACCCGACGACAGAAAGCUGCUGCUUUCUGUCCAACGGCGAGUUUGGGGUGUGGAGGCUAUAAAUACCACCCCAACCGGCCAUUCUCAAGUGUGGGAGCCCAAGCAACAUACCAAGACACAUAGUGCAUAUUUCCAAGAGCUCAAACACCCAAGUGCUUAAUAGAAUCACUCGGUGAUUAGCGUAGGUGCUUUGCGAAGUGCUUAGGUUAGUUAGACCGCUUUAGCGCUUGCUCUAGGUGAACCCUAGUUAGUUGAGUGAGUUUAGAUAAACCUCACAACCCCUCGGCUCUUGCGUGAGUCGUUGUAAUUGUACCGAGUGGGGCGAGAGUCUUGCGAGACCGUGACAACCGCGUUUGUGUCACGGCCGCCACCGUGUACCGGAGGGAACGAGGCCCGCGACGUUUCGGCCGGAAGCUCGAUAGUGGAGACGGCGGGGAGCGUCCGAGAGGAGCCGGAAGCGGAGCACCACUUGCGCGUGGAGAAGGCUCGCAGCUCUCUACGGAGUUACUCGACCGUGGUGCUUGGCCCUCGCGUGGGCUUCCCUUUGCGUAGGGGCACCAACGAGGAUUAGUCGGGACCUUGCGUGGUUCCGGAUACCUCGGUAAAAAUACCGGCGUCAUCCACUAUCGAGCUCUUUACAUUCCGCAUUUAUAUUAAGCAUUUAAGUUUCAAUCUUGUAGUCAUACUUAUUUAGUGUAGAUUGAAACUUAGCCUUUGCGGUAGAGAUAGCAACACUUAGACAAAACCUAGUUUGCACAUUCUAGUUUUGAUUAUUGGCAUAGGUUUUGCUCUAGGAAUUUAAUUGUGGCCUAGUUUAGUAAAAGUUUUAGAAGUCCUAAUUCACCCCCCCCCUCUUAGGCGUCACCCGUUUCCUAUAGUACUGGUGGACCAGAAUGAAGAGGGAAAUUGCCAAGUACAUAUCCGAGUGUGACACCUGCCAAAGGAUCAAAGCCAGUCAUUUGAAGGCAGCAGCCCCUUUGCAACCCCUUCCUAUACCAUCCUGGAAAUGGGAGGACAUUUGCAUGGACUUUAUCGUAGGAUUGCCUACUACCUCCAGGCACCAUGAUUCAAUUUGGGUUAUUGUGGACAGAUUGACUAAGACCGCUCAUUUCUUGUCAGUACAUACCACCCAUAGGACGGAGAAGUAUGCGGAAAUCUACAUUGACCAGAUAGUACGUUUGCAUGGGAUACCUAGGACUAUAGUGUCAGACAGAGGAGCACCAUUUGUGGCACGAUUUUGGGAACAAUUGCAGGAAUCACUUGGGACCCAUGUCAUACGAAGCUCAGCAUACCAUCCCCAAACAGAUGGCCAGACAGAGAGGGUAAAUCAGGUUCUGGAAGAUAUGUUAAGGGCAUGUGCACUACACUACGGAAGGGAUUGGGACAAGUGUCUUUCGUUGGCAGAGUUUUCUUACAACAACAGCUAUCAGUCCAGUCUAAAUAUGGCACCUUUUGAAGCCUUGUAUGGAAGAAGAUGCAGGACCCCGCUGAAUUGGUCUCAAGCAGGAGAGAGGGAAAUAUUUGGGCCAGAUUUGGUACUUGAAGGAGAGGAAAAGGUCAGAGUCAUUAAGAAAAACUUAGAAGCUGCUUAGGCCAGGCAAAAGAGCUAUCAUGAUAAGAGGCGGAAACCUCUACAGUUUGAAGUGGGAGAUCAUGUUUAUCUUAAGGUAUCACCCACCAAGGGUGUCCAGAGAUUUGGAAUCAAGGGCAAGUUAGCUCCUCGCUACAUUGGGCCCUACGAGAUCAAGGAAACUUGUGGACCAGUAGCAUAUCAAUUGAAGUUGCCCCCACACAUGUCAGCUAUUCAUGAUGUGUUCCAUGUAUCUCAGCUGCGGAAAUGUGUCCGCUUACCUACUGAAGUGCUACUGGAACCAGACAUUGAGAUAGAGCCCGACCUGUCCUAUCAAGAAUACCCCGUCAAGGUGUUAGAUCAGAAGGAGAGAUCAACACGGGCAAGGUCAAUCAGAAUGUAUAAAGUUCAGUGGAGUCACCAUUCAGUAGAAGAAGCUACAUGGGAGGCGGAGGAUUUUCUACGCUCUCGCUUCCCCGACUUUCUGCCCAAAGGAGUCGGUACGUAACCCAAAACCCCACCCCCACCUGCUCUUUGAAUACAAUUAUAAGAAAAUCUUAGAUAGCAAGGAAAGUCUAAGUUGUGGAUUUAACUUUAAAAGGGCUUCCUUCUGAAGUUGCAAAGAGGAUGACAUUCGAAGAGCAGUUAACAAGAGAAACCUAGGUGAAAGAAAGAGUAGCACACCAACACACCUUCGAGCACCCCUCCAAGGGACUCUACCUGAAAUCUCGAGGCGAGAUUCCUUUAAGGGGGGAGGGCUGUAACACCCUAGGUGUUACUCAGGGUGUCCACCCAGGGCUACCCCAUUUAACCUAUUAUCACAUGUGGGUUAGUUGAGCAAAGUGCAUCAAACUUGGAGUUCAAGGUCCUAAGCAAGUGCAACCCAUCUUGGAUAUCAUGCCUUAGCUUGUCAUGCACAUCUAAGGGGAGAAUUUCCCAAAACCCUAAAGCAAACCCCUCUUGGGCAAUAGGAACCCUAGAUGUAAGUAUGAUCAAAAGGUCAUGUAAACCUUAUGAUCAUGGCUUAGGCCAAAUAUAAAAGUAGUAGUAUACUUCAUAACCUACAAAUAAUAGUAAGAAAGUAACCCCAAAAAGAUUUCAGAAAAUCCCCAAAAAGUUCACCAAAGGUUGAGCACAAGAGAAAAUUUCAGGAUUUGCCUAAGUCUAAAAACUAACCUUUGAACAAAGAUCCCACAUGUUCACCUUAAUCCAAAAUUCAAAACACUUCGACCCAAUUGACAAAGUGGCGCCAAAUUAACCCUAGAAUGCCCUGGAAAGAGGUGACACCUACCCUAGGGCGUUUGACACGACUUGGCACCAUUUUUGUCUCGGUUUGGACCUAGCUGACAUAGCCAACUUCUCACCCCUCUAUCUCCCUACCCCGACCAUAUCUUGACUUGGAACUCACAGCAAAAAGGUAGGAUAUGGAGCAGGGAAGAGACCGUACACAGUGACUUUACCAAGAUACGCACGCUAAGGUGCUCAAAUCUGCCGUUGAACCAUGGCAGAAGCGAGCUCCCACGUGUUCGACGCGGGCUGACACUCGGGGGCACGCUCAGAGCACGCCCGCGCGCGAACCCCCGCGCGCCCGUGGCCGCCCGUGAUCACGCCCACGCCACGGCUAUAAAGCCCAUCCCAGUGCUCGGCUGCCAUCCCCAUUGCCUCCUCCGUACCGCGCCUAACUCCCCCGAGCCAGCCCUUAGCUCCGGCGACCUCCCCGUGACCCGCCAGAGCCGCCCGAGAGCCACCACCGUGGCCAGCCCCUAUCCCGUCCUCCUCCGUUCGAUCCAAGCCUUCAGAUAGCUUCCUUGUGAGGCCGUGGAGCUUAUUCAAGCUUGAACCGAGGACCCGCAUCACCGGAAUAGCGAAACCGUGCUCGCCGGAGUUCAUCACCCCGCCGACGCACGUGGACCGGGUAAUUCACUGCGCCAUUUUUCGAUCCAAUGCACAGAUAGCCUCUACACCGCCCCGGGAAGCUCACCGUGCCGUUGGAUUGGACUAGGUCGCCGUGGUUUGGCCGGCACACCCACCGCCGACGAGGACCCCCGCCUGCGCACGUCGACCGAGCGAUUCCGGCCAUCCCCGCCGUCGAGACGUACAUCGCUGUGACCGCCAGAGCCUCCCCGAGCUAACCCUACCCCUCGCCUGACCUAUCUCGCCGCCGGUAAGCCACGCCACCCCUUUCUUCUCUGUGGUUACUGUUUACACUUGGGAAGGACCGCGGGGGAGAGGAAGAGAAAGUCAGGGGGUUUUGCGCAUUGUCAGUCGCACAGAGGAAUAGUGGCGCAAGGGUAGAACUGCGGAGAUUAAUUCGGAAAGACCCUGGGGACCUCGGUGUAAACUGCUUUUUCAGAAAACCUUAUUAAACCUGACUUUAAAUUUGAAUAGAAACUUUGAAAAUCCAUAACUUCUGUUUAGUUCAUCCAAAUUUGGUCAAACCAAUUUUGUGAGACUCUAAAUAAUAUAACCUACUUAAGAAAAAUAUAAAACCCCCUAUGUACUACAGAAAACUUUAGGGUUCUAAAUUAAUUAUUGUUUUGGCCAAAAGCUAAAUAAUGGGGAUAAAAAUAGUUGCACUAUUUGACUAGGGUUAGAAAAAUUUGGAGGAGUUUCUAUCCACUUACUGACCUGUUUAAAAAUGUUAAACCUCUCUGUCCACCCCAUUAAAUUAGUUUUUGCCAUUUAUUUUACAAUAUGUUUAAGAUUAAGGAAAAUAGAAAAGAUGAUUUAAAUAAUGAACCAGAGGGCACCCCUAUUUUUGUUAGGGUACUUAUUCCAUGUAGUUUACUAGAAAAAUCUAUCAUACCCUGGUGUAAUAUAAAAUAAGUAGGAUCCCUUUUAUUUUAAGAAAACAAGGAAAGCUUAGAAAAACCCUACAAAAAUAACCCUAAGGUGAAAACACCUCAAACCUUGGGAUGACAAAUGGUUGGUUAUUAUGAACAUGGGAAAAAUACAAAAUCUGUUGUUUGAUAUUUUUCAAAUGACAAGUUAGUUAUAAGCACCUUUUUGGCAUAAAAAUUUAGAAAAUCACAACUAAAUAACCACCAAUUAACUUUUUGUGAUUUUUGGCACAGACGUUUAUUGUUACUGUUAGAUGCCAACAAAAAUAACCCUUAGGGCAGAACCUACUCCUAGUUAAGAGUUGUAGUACAAAGUGGCCCAUUUUACACAACUCUUGUUAUUUUUGUCUAAAGCAUAGCCUUCAUAUUUUAAGACUCAGGUUCUUACAACAGGCUAGAAUAGCAAAUGGCAACCCACUGUAAUUUUUACAGAAUUUUUGGAAAAUGUUAAACCAUUAUCGUAGUUCAAACCUACACUAGAAACCAUAAGUAGAAAAUGAAGAAAGGGAAAAGUGAAUAACAGGAAAUUGGUGUCAUCCUAAAAACUCUUUAUAACUUGUCCACUGAAGUAUAUAAAGGCAAUACCAAUUCCCUAUACUUAUCCUCAAUAAAAACUUAAACCUAGAAGUGAUAAACAUAACCCACUAAAAGCCCCGCAUGACCAAGGAACCCUAAGUUACUCCUUAACUCAGUUUUCUUCUUUAGCAUAAUGUUAUUAAAUCCUGCAUAAUCAUGACAUACAUGUUCAUUACAUUCGAUAGACUGUAACCUUGCUAACGGAGAGUACGUCCUCGUGCCGGAGCAAGGAGCUGCUCAGGAGGUAGCCCCGGAUCCAGCACCCGAGUCUGCACCAGAGGAUCUGCCUGCCACAGCUUUGGAAGGCAAGCCCCGGUUUAUGCAUAACCUGUUUAUUAUGCUAUUUUACUGCACUUAAUGAUUGUAGGAUUGAAUGUGCACUUAGGUGUAGGAGUUGUUUGAAACCCUAGUUGCAUGAUCUCAGGAAUCCCAUUGAGAUGAAUAUUAGUAUGCUAAGCCGAGUAGCUGCUUUAUUAAUUAGGGAUUUCGGUAGAAGUCGAGUGAUUUUUCUAGCACUCGCGCGAGGUCAGGAACUGAUUGUGCCCACUUUCAUAUCAUAAAGAUGUUGGUUGGUGGACAACAAUCCAUGGGGAUUGGUGGCCCACAGGAUGAAAAUUUGAAUAAGGAUUAAGGUGUGGCACCGUGAGUCAAGCGUUUGAACGUACUAAGCACAUGCCGAGAAAUAUGGUAAAUCGGUAAGCCUAGUACCUGAUUGAACCUGCCAGCGGACAUAUCCCCUCACGCGACCUGAGACGUGGUCUCCCAUUCCGGUUAUGGUGGGUACAAGUGCGGUCACUGCACGACGGCAGUCGGGGUCAGUGAGGCAUUGUACGCCAAGGCGGUGAGCCCUGAUCUGCUGCCAGGGAAUCGACGGGGACGGUUGAUGUGUGUGGGGACGGAGUGCCUUGCCAUGUCGUGUGUUUAGGUUUACCUUUCAAGGUUUAAAAACUCGAUUCGAAUCGUCUGCUUCUCGCAGCUAAUGAGACUGCUUGAUCCAUGCUGCUACAUUGAGUAACAAGUGGAAAUGUGAUGAGUUGAUACAAAAUGUUGAUUGCUAAAAAUGUUUGCUACUAUGUAUGAGUAGAUAGUACAUAUUUAGCCAUAAGAGAGUCACACUUAAAUUUGACAAAAUUAAAACUUGAUUUAGAAACUCAGCUAGUGCUUUUGGCAACCAAACCCUAUAGCCAAACAACUGCAUGUCUAGAGGUAGAGGAGUAGACUCCUCACACCGGGUAAGUCUAGCUGAGUAUUAGUAUACUCAGCCUUGCUUGUGGCAUAAUUUUACAGGUUCUUUGGAGGACAUGGUUUCUGAAGUGACUUGGCCGUCCAUCUUGCCACCGGGUUGGACUGUCGAGUGGGACCCCGCCUCGGCUAAGGAGGAGCAUGAGGAGUGAUGGGACAGGCUUUCCCAUCUCUCUGUUUAUUUACCGUUAGUUUAAUUCCGCUGCACUUCGAACAAUGAUGACUACUUUCUCAAAACUCCGAUGGUGAUGUAAUAAUUUAAUACUCCGUAAUUUAUGGUUUUAUGCUUUAUUGUAUUUGCUCUGUGACUCACCAUCGAGUGAGAUUGUGGUACUUGAUCCUGUCAGUGGCCGAGUCGGACUAGAUCCGAGGGAUUGACGGGUUAUUCCCAUUUAAGUGUGGUGUAGCCUCCAAGGCAGGGCUUAGGCACUUAAGUUGGAAUAAUUCGGGCAGUUCCGCCAUUUUGUAUCCAUUGAGCAAAGAUGGGUAAUUAUAUGGCGGUAUCCGAAAACAUAUCUUGGGGACGGCCUAAAGCACUCAUGGUAUCAUUAUGAAUGUACAAGCCAAAACUGUGAAACCCCAGAAAUAUACAUACCCAGUUAAGGUGGGAUAUGAUUGCAUCGCGGUGUCUAAGGACGCGAUCUAAUAGAUCGUUGUAUCGAGUAGUUGGAUCAUAGUCUCUUACCAUAAAAAUGGUUGCAUGUGCAGCAGCAACAACUAUUAGAAAUCCGCCAAUCCACAUGUGGUGUGUGAACAAGGAAAGUUGUGUAUUGUAGUCAGUAGCUAGGUAUGGAUAGGGGGGCAUAGAGUACAUAUGAUGAGCUACAACAAUAGUUGUAGAGCCUAGCAUAGCUAGGUUAAGAGAUAAUUGAGCAUGCCAUGACGUUGUUAGGAUUUCAUAGAGACCUUUAUGGCCUUGUCCUGUAAAUGGGCCCUUAUGAGCCUCCAAAAUACUUUAAGUCCAUGACCAAUACCCCAAUUGGUCCUAUACAUAUGACCAGCGAUCAAGAAAAGAAUAGCAAUAGCUAAAUGAUGGUGUGCAAUAUCUCUCAAC